rnacentral:rRNA from 1 species
CCUACGGGAGGCUGCAGUGGGGAAUAUUGGACAAUGGGGGCAACCCUGAUCCAGCCAUGCCGCGUGAGUGAUGAAGGCCUUCGGGUUGUAAAGCUCUUUCGCACGCGACGAUGAUGACGGUAGCGUGAGAAGAAGCCCCGGCUAACUUCGUGCCAGCAGCCGCGGUAAUACGAAGGGGGCUAGCGUUGUUCGGAAUUACUGGGCGUAAAGGGCGCGUAGGCGGCGCUUCAAGUCAGAUGUGAAAGCCCCGGGCUCAACCUGGGAAUAGCAUUUGAGACUGGAGUGCUUGAGUUCCGGAGAGGUGGGUGGAAUUCCCAGUGUAGAGGUGAAAUUCGUAGAUAUUGGGAAGAACACCGGUGGCGAAGGCGGCCCACUGGACGGAUACUGACGCUGAGGCGCGAAAGCGUGGGGAGCAAACAGGAUUAGAUACCCCUGUAGUC